rnacentral:rRNA from 1 species
GAUGAACGCUGGCGGCGUGCUUAACACAUGCAAGUCGAACGGGAAAUAUUUCAUUGAGACUUCGGUGGAUUUGAUCUAUUUCUAGUGGCGGACGGGUGAGUAACGCGUGGGUAACCUGCCUUAUACAGGGGGAUAACAGUCAGAAAUGGCUGCUAAUACCGCAUAAGCGCACAGAGCUGCAUGGCUCAGUGUGAAAAACUCCGGUGGUAUAAGAUGGACCCGCGUUGGAUUAGCUUGUUGGUGAGGUAACGGCCCACCAAGGCGACGAUCCAUAGCCGGCCUGAGAGGGUGAACGGCCACAUUGGGACUGAGACACGGCCCAGACUCCUACGGGAGGCAGCAGUGGGGAAUAUUGCACAAUGGGGGAAACCCUGAUGCAGCGACGCCGCGUGAAGGAAGAAGUAUCUCGGUAUGUAAACUUCUAUCAGCAGGGAAGAUAGUGACGGUACCUGACUAAGAAGCCCCGGCUAACUACGUGCCAGCAGCCGCGGUAAUACGUAGGGGGCAAGCGUUAUCCGGAUUUACUGGGUGUAAAGGGAGCGUAGACGGUGUGGCAAGUCUGAUGUGAAAGGCAUGGGCUCAACCUGUGGACUGCAUUGGAAACUGUCAUACUUGAGUGCCGGAGGGGUAAGCGGAAUUCCUAGUGUAGCGGUGAAAUGCGUAGAUAUUAGGAGGAACACCAGUGGCGAAGGCGGCUUACUGGACGGUAACUGAC